GCCGCAGCCGCGCGGCCCGCGCUCCCCUCCUCCGCCUCCCGCCGCGACCCCUGCGGGGCGCGGGGUCCCAGCCCUGCCCGCCUGCGAGCCCCGAGCAGACGCCGAGCUGGGGAGGAGGGGCCCAGGGCGCUGCUUCGCACCCCUCCCUGUGGGGCUCGGACUCGAGGGUGGUGCGGCUUUAUUGCCGUGGCCUCGGGCAGGUGGCCGCUGCUCCUCUGGGUUUUUCAAAGACGGGGAAAGUGACGCCGAGUCGCUCAAAGUCACUGAGGAGAGUGCCGAGAGGGAUACAGGUCUCUCUGGACGAGAAGUUUCCUUCUUAGGGUGGGAGUUGGAAUUCCCACGCAUCACCGGGGGUCUCCGGAGAGAAACCUGCUGCCUGGCGCUUCCCGAAGUCCCUUCCAGGCUGCAGCGCCCCGGGUCGCUCCCUCGGCCGAGAUGUCGGGAUGGGAACUCCCAAGGUGGAAAUCGCUUGUUUCCACGAUCAGUCCUCUCCUGCCUCCUAAUUAGAGGGCCCUCCCCUGCCGCCCACAGUGACUCAGAAGGCAGCUGCGGAGAACAGGAAGGCCGGAGAUUCAUGUGACAAGCCACUGGCCUUCACCAGGGCAGACAAAGCAGCUAAAGAUGGGCUCUCCAGAAAACUCGAGUGAAGGCUUGACUGAGAGUGAAGUAGAACACACACCAUGAAACCCAGAAGAAGAAAAGUUCAUGCCAGGUCAAUGAUUAACAGGUCCUUGCUUAAUAAACUGAUGAGAUUUGGGAUGAAGAAGACUAAU
rnacentral:lncRNA from 1 species